UCUAGAACUCGAGAUAUGGGCUAAACAUUGAACAGUGUCUGGGCUGCAGGACAGAUUUUGACUUCUCUAUUGUUGCUAUAAUUUGAACUUGAAAACGGUCCUUUUGAAUCUUGGACUCUUCAUAAAAGUUUUAGGCCUAUGUAUCAGCUUUCUAUC
rnacentral:pre_miRNA from 1 species